UACAGGGGGUGCAAACGUUGCUCGGAAUUAUUGGGCGUAAAGCGCGCGUAGGCGGUCUCCUAAGUCGGAUGUGAAAUCCCUUGGCUUAACUGAGGAAGUGCAUCCGAAACUGAGAGGCUUGAGUACGAAAGAGGAUCGCGGAAUUCCCGGUGUAGAGGUGAAAAUUCGUAGAUAUCGGGAGGAACACCGGCGGCGAAGGCGGCGAUCUGGGUCGAGACUGACGCUGAGGCGCGAAAAGCGUGGGGAGCAAACAGG
rnacentral:rRNA from 1 species